ACCUGCGGAAGGAUCAUUACAGAGUUCAUGCCCUUACGGGUAGAUCUCCCACCCUUGUAUAUAUAAUUAUCUGUUGCUUUGGCGGGCCGCGAGCUUCGCUCGCCUGGGUUCUGCCCGGCGUGCCCGCCAGAGGAAACCUAAACUCUGAAUGUUAGUGUCGUCUGAGUACUAUAUAAUAGUUAAAACUUUCAACAACGGAUCUCUUGGUUCUGGCAUCGAUGAAGAACGCAGCGAAAUGCGAUAAGUAAUGUGAAUUGCAGAAUUCAGUGAAUCAUCGAAUCUUUGAACGCACAUUGCGCCCCUUGGUAUUCCGGGGGGCAUGCCUGUUCGAGCGUCAUUAUAACCAAUCCAGCCUGGCUGGGUCUUGGGCCUCGCGGUACAGCGGGCCUUAAAAACAGUGGCGGUGCUCUCAUGCUCUACGCGUAGUAACUUUCUCGCUAUAGGGUCCUGGGAGAUGCUUGCCAACAACCCCCAAUUUUUUUAGGUUGACCUCGGAUCAGGUAGGGAUACCCGCUGAACUUAAGCAUAUCAUAG
rnacentral:rRNA from 1 species